UACGUAGGGGGCAAGCGUUGUCCGGAAUUAUUGGGCGUAAAGCGCGCGCAGGCGGUCUCUUAAGUCCGAUGUAUAAGCCUGGGGCUCAACCCCGGGAGGCAUGGGAAACUGGGAGGCUUGAGUGCAGAAGAGGAGAGUGGAAUUCCACGUGUAGCGGUGAAAUGCGUAGAGAUGUGGAGGAACACCAGUGGCGAAGGCGACUCUCUGGUCUGUAACUGACGCUGAGGCGCGAAAGCGUGGGGAGCGAACCGG
rnacentral:rRNA from 1 species